rnacentral:rRNA from 1 species
GACGAACGCUGGCGGCGUGCUUAACACAUGCAAGUCGAACGGAAAGGCCCUGCUUUUGUGGGGUGCUCGAGUGGCGAACGGGUGAGUAACACGUGAGUAACCUGCCCUUGACUUUGGGAUAACUUCAGGAAACUGGGGCUAAUACCGGAUAGGAGCUCCUGCUGCAUGGUGGGGGUUGGAAAGUUUCGGCGGUUGGGGAUGGACUCGCGGCUUAUCAGCUUGUUUGUGGGGUAGUGGCUUACCAAGGCUUUGACGGGUAGCCGGCCUGAGAGGGUGACCGGCCACAUUGGGACUGAGAGACGGCCCAGACGCCUACGGGAGGCAGCAGGGGGGAAUAUUGCACAAUGGGCGGAAGCCUGAUGCAGCAACGCCGCGUGCGGGAUGACGGCCUUCGGGUUGUAAACCGCUUUCGCCUGUGACGAAGCGUGAGUGACGGUAAUGGGUAAAGAAGCACCGGCUAACUACGUG